UCCCUUGUAGCUUAGUUGGUAAAGAAUCUGCCUGCAAUGCAGGAGACCUGGGUUUGAUUCCUGGGUUGGGAA
rnacentral:tRNA from 1 species